UCGACCUAAUCAACCUAUGGGUCGACUCAAUCCACACUUUGCUGCAUUCUUAAGGUUAGAUUCACUCAAAUGAACAAGACCAUAUAUAUAUUCUCAAUUAAACAAAUGUACUGAGAGUAAUGAACUUAUAAAUGAAGCAUCAAUUUAGCUUAUAGCAUGCUUUAGAUAAUUGCUUGUUAAUCAUCAAAAUAACACUAUCAUCCUCAA
rnacentral:lncRNA from 1 species